UACGUAUGGUGCAAGCGUUAUCCGGAUUUACUGGGCGUAAAGGGAGCGCAGGCGGCGCGCCAAGUCUGAUGUGAAACCCCGGGGCUCAACCCCGGGCAUGCAUUGGAAACUGGCGGGCUGGAGUGCCGGAGAGGUAAGCGGAAUUCCUAGUGUAGCGGUGAAAUGCGUAGAUAUUAGGAGGAACACCAGUGGCGAAGGCGGCUUACUGGACGGCAACUGACGCUGAGGCUCGAAAGCGUUGGGAGCAAACAGG
rnacentral:rRNA from 1 species